rnacentral:rRNA from 1 species
AGAUGUGGGUUAAGUCCCGUAACCGAGCGCAACCCUUGUCCUUAGUUACCAGCACGUUAUGGUGGGCACUCUAAGGAGACUGCCGGUGACAAACCGGAGGAAGGUGGGGAUGACGUCAAGUCAUCAUGGCCCUUACGGCCUGGGCUACACACGUGCUACAAUGGUCGGUACAAAGGGUUGCCAAGCCGCGAGGUGGAGCUAAUCCCAUAAACCGAUCGUAGUCCGGAUCGCAGUCUGCAACUCGACUGCGUGAAGUCGGAAUCGCUAGUAAUCGUGAAUCAGAAUGUCACGGUGAAUACGUUCCCGGGCCUU